rnacentral:rRNA from 2 species
UGCAAGUCGAACGAUGAAGCCCUUCGGGGUGGAUUAGUGGCGAACGGGUGAGUAACACGUGGGCAAUCUGCCCUUCACUCUGGGACAAGCCCUGGAAACGGGGUCUAAUACCGGAUAAUACUUCCACUCGCAUGGGUGGGGGUUGAAAGCUCCGGCGGUGAAGGAUGAGCCCGCGGCCUAUCAGCUUGUUGGUGAGGUAGUGGCUCACCAAGGCGACGACGGGUAGCCGGCCUGAGAGGGCGACCGGCCACACUGGGACUGAGACACGGCCCAGACUCCUACGGGAGGCAGCAGUGGGGAAUAUUGCACAAUGGGCGAAAGCCUGAUGCAGCGACGCCGCGUGAGGGAUGACGGCCUUCGGGUUGUAAACCUCUUUCAGCAGGGAAGAAGCGAAAGUGACGGUACCUGCAGAAGAAGCGCCGGCUAACUACGUGCCAGCAGCCGCGGUAAUACGUAGGGCGCAAGCGUUGUCCGGAAUUAUUGGGCGUAAAGAGCUCGUAGGCGGUCUGUCGCGUCGGAUGUGAAAGCCCGGGGCUUAACCCCGGGUCUGCAUUCGAUACGGGCAGACUAGAGUGUGGUAGGGGAGAUCGGAAUUCCUGGUGUAGCGGUGAAAUGCGCAGAUAUCAGGAGGAACACCGGUGGCGAAGGCGGAUCUCUGGGCCAUUACUGACGCUGAGGAGCGAAAGCGUGGGGAGCGAACAGGAUUAGAUACCCUGGUAGUCCACGCCGUAAACGGUGGGAACUAGGUGUUGGCGACAUUCCACGUCGUCGGUGCCGCAGCUAACGCAUUAAG